rnacentral:lncRNA from 1 species
GCCGAUAAAGAAAGAUUUUGAAUUAUUACAUAAUAUGCAAGAUUCUCCUAAUUAAUGUGAUGCUCCAUGAUUCUUGGGCUGUAUAAUUCUUACCAAUAGAGGAAUAUUUUGAAUUGCUGCACUAUAUACAAGAUUUUCCUAAUCAAUAUGAUACUCUAAGAUUCUUGCCAAUAAAUGUAACUCAUGGCAUGUGUCUAGAAAUAGCCUUGGUAAUACUAACAUCACAUGUGAUGCUGGAACCACCUACAAGGAAUAUAAUCUACUUGCAUAAUCAAAGCAUUCAAAAUAACAUAUACCAAGAUUUGCUAAACUAC